GUGAGGAAUAUUGGUCAAUGGUCGGAAGACUGAACCAGCCAUGCCGCGUGCAGGAAGACGGUCCUAUGGAUUGUAAACUGCUUUUGUACGGGAAGAAACACUCCUUCGUGAAGGAGCUUGACGGUACCGUAAGAAUAAGGAUCGGCUAACUCCGUGCCAGCAGCCGCGGUAAUACGGAGGAUCCAAGCGUUAUCCGGAAUCAUUGGGUUUAAAGGGUCCGUAGGCGGUUAGAUAAGUCAGUGGUGAAAUCCGGCAGCUUAACUGUCGAACUGCCAUUGAUACUGUUUGACUUGAAUUACUGUGAAGUAACUAGAAUAUGUAGUGUAGCGGUGAAAUGCUUAGAUAUUACAUGGAAUACCAAUUGCGAAGGCAGGUUACUAAUGGUUUAUUGACGCUGAUGGACGAAAGCGUGGGGAGCGAACAGGAUUAGAAACCCUGGUAGUCC
rnacentral:rRNA from 1 species